GCAGUCGAGGGGCAGCAUGGGCUUAGCUUGCUAAGCCCGAUGGCGACCGGCGCACGGGUGAGUAACACGUAUCCAACCUUCCGGUAACUCCGGUAUAGCCUUUCGAAAGAAAGAUUAAUCCCGGAUAGUAUGGUGAUUCCGCAUGGUUUUUCCAUUAAAGGAUUCCGGUUACCGAUGGGGAUGCGUUCCAUUAGGCAGUUGGCGGGGUAACGGCCCACCAAACCUACGAUGGAUAGGGGUUCUGAGAGGAAGGUCCCCCACAUUGGAACUGAGACACGGUCCAAACUCCUACGGGAGGCAGCAGUGAGGAAUAUUGGUCAAUGGGCGGAAGCCUGAACCAGCCAAGUAGCGUGAAGGAUGACUGCCCUAUGGGUUGUAAACUUCUUUUAUAAGGGAAUAAUUGCGGGUACGCGUACCCGUUUGCAUGUACCUUAUGAAUAAGGAUCGGCUAACUCCGUGCCAGCAGCCGCGGUAAUACGGAGGAUCCGAGCGUUAUCCGGAUUUAUUGGGUUUAAAGGGAGCGUAGGCGGGCGCUUAAGUCAGCUGUGAAAGUUUGGGGCUCAACCUUAAAAUUGCAGUUGAUACUGGGUGCCUUGAGUGCAGUAUAGGCAGGCGGAAUUCGUGGUGUAGCGGUGAAAUGCUUAGAUAUCACGAAGAACUCCUAUUGCGAAGGCAGCUUGCUGGAAUGUAACUGACGC
rnacentral:rRNA from 1 species